rnacentral:rRNA from 1 species
UUGAACGCUGGCGGCAUGCUUUACACAUGCAAGUCGAACGGUAACAGGCCUUCGGGUGCUGACGUGUGGCGAACGGGUGAGUAAUGCAUCGGAACGUACCCAGAGGUGGGGGAUAACGCAGCGAAAGCUGUGCUAAUACCGCAUGUGAUCUGAGGAUGAAAGCGGGGGACCGAGCAGCAAUGUUUGGCCUCGCGCCUUUGGAGCGGCCGAUGUCGGAUUAGCUAGUUGGUGGGGUAAAGGCCUACCAAGGCGACGAUCCGUAGCUGGUCUGAGAGGACGACCAGCCACACUGGGACUGAGACACGGCCCAGACUCCUACGGGAGGCAGCAGUGGGGAAUUUUGGACAAUGGGCGCAAGCCUGAUCCAGCAAUGCCGCGUGCGGGAAGAAGGCCUUCGGGUUGUAAACCGCUUUUGGCAGGAACGAAACGGUGUCCGCUAAUACCGGGCGCUAAUGACGGUACCUGCAGAAUAAGCACCGGCUAACUACGUG